rnacentral:rRNA from 1 species
CCUACGGGUGGCAGCAGUGGGGAAUAGUGCACAAUGGAGGGAACUCUGAUGCAGCGACGCCGCGUGAGUGAAGAAGGAAUUCGUUAUGUAAAGCUCUAUCAGCAGGGAAGAAAGUGACGGUACCUGAAAAAGAAGCUCCGGCUAAAUACGUGCCAGCAGCCGCGGUAAUACGUAUGGAGCAAGCGUUAUCCGGAUUUACUGGGUGUAAAGGGAGAGGAGGGGGCAGAGCCAGUCCGAAGUGAAAACCCAAAGCUCAACUAUGGGAAUGCUUUAGAAACUGCUCAGCUAGAGUGCAGGAGAGGCAAGUGGACUUCUUAGUGUAGCGGUGAACUGCGUAGAUAUUCGGAGGACCCCCAGUGGCGACGGCGGCUGACUGGACGGCAACUGACGGUGAGGCUCGAACGCGUGGGGAGCACACAGGAUUAGAUACCCGAGUAGUC